CACGUCAGCGCGCUUUGCUGACGUGGCAACAAAUCGCGUCCACGAGAGGGCGAUUUGUUGCCACAUCAGCAAAGCGUGCUGACGUGG
rfam:Gossypium hirsutum cultivar TM-1 chromosome 21, whole genome shotgun sequence